CAGAACAGCACGUGGAGUUGGAAGCAUGGUUUACCUGCUGUGCUCAUACAAUUCAAGAGUCCUUGUUGAGAAAUGACUAUUAUAAGUUAAGCUGAAUAAGGUCUUCAAGUUUCGUUCAAAGUACAUGCAAGUUACCUUCAGUUUAUGUGCUUGUUACCUUCUGCUUCUCUCAAAUCUGGAUUUCCAACCUGCCAUGAACUUUGGCUAUGAGUCAUGGAAUCACCUUGGUUGAGAGGAUUAACUUUUGCUUGAGGAUAUCUGCUAUUUUGGGCACUACUUCAGUACAGGACUUCAACCUGCAUCAGAUAAGACUACUACACUCACUGAAUUACUCACUAUUUACAGUGUUCAACUGUGAACACUGAAAUGUUUAAUACUGGAUUCAGUAGACUGGACAUAAUACACUCAUUCAUUGCUUUGACUUUUGUCAUGUUUAUUUUCAUGUACGUUUUGUUUGCAUUGAGAUGGAUUGUUUAUAAUGUUUAUAAUUUCUUUUUGGUUUCUUAAUCAAAUUCUAUAUAAAAGACCAUGGUAUUCAUUCAUGUGGCAUUCAUAUUUCUUAUGUUUAAUGGACAACGUAAAAUGCUAUAGGUCUCCACUUUCUCAAUGUAUAGCUGAUUUUGAGUUUAAAAAGACACAAGACAGUUAUAGCAUUCAUUUGAAUUGAGUGAGGAUUUAUGGGUAGUGUGCAGGAGAGUGUUAAGUCAUUCUUUUUAUUAUUUAUUUACUCUUACUAGAGAGAAACUUUUUUGCAAUGACUUUCAAGCAACUGUAUUGAAGAUUCUUUUAGUGGAUGUAAAAAGUCAGUUCCCCUCAAGUUGCCAAAGAUGUCCUAACCACAGGUGGAGUUCAGCACAUUAACUGUUUUCACAAAUGUUUGACUACCUGAAUGUGUUAAAAUACAUUUUGUCUAUUAUGAACAAUCUAUUGUUACAUCUACUGAAACCUUACAAACUGUUUUGCUUGACAAUUGUGCUAUCUUUAAAAUAAAUGGCACUUUAUUUUA